rnacentral:misc_RNA from 1 species
AACGCACAUUGCGCCCGCUAGUAUUCUGGCGGGCAUGCCUGUUCGAGCGUCAUUUCAACCAUCAAGCCCCAGGCUUGCGUUGGAGCCCUGCGGCUGCCGCAGGCUCUCAAAUACAGUGGCGGGCUCGUCGUCGUACCGAGUGCAGUAAACAUCCUCGCUCAGGGAACGCGUCGGGUUCUUGCCGUGAAACCCCCCCUAUAUUCAGGUUGACCUCGGAUCAGGUAGGAAUACCCGCUGAACUUAA